CCUACGGGUGGCAGCAGUGGGGAAUAUUGCACAAUGGGGGAAACCCUGAUGCAGCGACGCCGCGUGAGGGAUGAAGGAUUUCGGGAUGGAAAGCUCUAUUAGCAGGGAAGAGAAUGACGGUACCUGAAUAAGAAGGUCCGGCUAAAGACGUUCCAGCAGCCGCGGCAAUACGGAUGUAGCAAGGGUUAUCCGGAGUUACUGGGUGUAAAGGGAGCGCAGACGGGAGGGUAAGUCUGAUGUGAAAGUCCGGGGCUCAACCCCGGGACUGCCUGGGAAACUGUGCGGCUAGAGUGCAGGAGAGUUAAGUCGAAUUCCUAGUGUAGCGGUGAAAUGCGUAGAUAUUCGGCGGAACCCCAGUGGCGAAGGCGGCUUACUGGACUGUAACUGACGUUGAGGCUCG
rnacentral:rRNA from 1 species